rnacentral:rRNA from 1 species
CAAUAGCGUAUAUUAAAGUUGUUGCAGUUAAAAAGCUCGUAGUUGGAUUUCUGGUGGGAGCGAUCGGUCUGGCGCUUAGCGCGAGUACUUGCAUCGUCUCCGGCCAUCCUUGGGGAGAGUCUGUCUGGCAUUAGGUUGUCGGGCAGAGGAUCCUCAUCGUUUACCGUGAAAAAAUUAGAGUGUUCAAAGCAGGCUUAUGCCGUUGAAUAUAUUAGCAUGGAAUAAUAAGAUAGGACUUUGGUACUAUUUUGUUGGUUUGCGCACCAAAGUAAUGAUUAAUAGGGACAGUUGGGGGUAUUCGUAUUCCGUUGUCAGAGGUGAAAUUCUUGGAUUUACGGAAGACGAACUACUGCGAAAGCAUUUACCAAGGAUGUUUNCAUUA